AUCAGUAGCCGACCUGAGAGGGUGAUCGGCCACAUUGGAACUGAGACACGGUCCAAACUCCUACGGGAGGCAGCAGUGGGGAAUAUUGCACAAUGGGCGAAAGCCUGAUGCAGCAACGCCGCGUGAACGAUGAAGGUCUUCGGAUCGUAAAGUUCUGUUGCAGGGGAAGAUAAUGACGGUACCCUGUGAGGAAGCCCCGGCUAACUACGUGCCAGCAGCCGCGGUAAUACGUAGGGGGCUAGCGUUAUCCGGAUUUACUGGGCGUAAAGGGUGCGUAGGUGGUCCUUCAAGUCGGUGGUUAAAGGCUACGGCUCAACCGUAGUAAGCCGCCGAAACUGGAGGACUUGAGUGCAGGAGAGGAAAGUGGAAUUCCCAGUGUAGCGGUGAAAUGCGUAGAUAUUGGGAGGAACACCAGUAGCGAAGGCGGCUUUCUGGACUGCAACUGACACUGAGGCACGAAAGCGUGGGUAGCAAACAGGAUUAGAUACCCUGGUAGUCCACGCUGUAAACGAUGAGUACUAGGUGUCGGGGGUUACCCCCCUCGGUGCCGCAGCUAACGCAUUAAGUACUCCGCCUGGGGAGUACGCACGCAAGUGUGAAACUCAAAGGAAUUGACGGGGACCCGCACAAGUAGCGGAGCAUGUGGUUUAAUUCGAAGCAACGCGAAGAACCUUACCUAAGCUUGACAUCCCUCGGACAGGUGUUUAAUCACACCCUUCCUUCGGGACUGAGGUGACAGGUGGUGCAUGGUUGUCGUCAGCUCGUGUCGUGAGAUGUUGGGUUAAGUCCCGCAACGAGCGCAACCCUUGUCUUUAGUUGCCAGCAUUCAGUUGGGCACUCUAGAGAGACUGCCAGGGAUAACCUGGAGGAAGGUGGGGAUGACGUCAAAUCAUCAUGCCCCUUAUGCUUAGGGCUACACACGUGCUACAAUGGGU
rnacentral:rRNA from 1 species